rnacentral:rRNA from 1 species
AACGAACGCUGGCGGCAUGCUUAACACAUGCAAGUUGAACGCAGGAUAGGACUUCGGUUCUAUUGCUGAGUAGCAAACGGGUGAGUAACGCGUGGGAAUCUACCUUCUUGUGGGGGAUAACUGAGGGAAACUUCAGCUAAUACCGCAUAAGCUCUACGGAGGAAAGGCUUCGGCCGCAAGAAGAGGAGCCCGCGUCAGAUUAGGUAGUUGGUAGGGUAAAAGCCUACCAAGCCAAUGAUCUGUAGCUGGUCUGAGAGGAUGAUCAGCCACACUGGGACUGAGACACGGCCCAGACUCCUACGGGAGGCAGCAGUGGGGAAUAUUGGACAAUGGGGGAAACCCUGAUCCAGCAAUGCCGCGUGAAUGAAGAAGGCCUUAGGGUUGUAAAGUUCUUUCACCUGUGAAGAUAAUGACGGUAGCAGGAGAAGAAGCCCCGGCUAACUCCGUGCCAGCAGCCGCGGU